GAGAGAGAGAGAGAGAGAGUAGUAUUUAGGUAAGAUUAGGUAGGAGUCAUCUUUUUGAUGGAUAAGUUGAAUAAUUAUGCAAGAGUAGAUGGUAAUAGUAUUUACAGAAGAUUAACAAAGUAAGCUAAAUUUUCUGAGGUUUCCACACCCUCUGAAGCAGAAUUAAAGUGUUGCUCAAUGAUGAACUACCACCACAAAUCUAAUAGUUGAUCAAUAUCAGCUCCCAGAGACUGAUGAAGAACUUAACGUUCUGCUGCUAUUGCCCUUGUAGCAAUGAAUCUCCUUAAGAUUGAAAAGUAGUGAUUAGUUCUUGGAGAUCUAUGUCUUCUCUGUUACUGCAAAAGUUUUUUCUUCUUCUUAUGAUGAACACUUUUUGCUCUACUGAUUUGUUUACUAGGAUUGUGAUUGCUUAUAUUUAUGUUGGAGAACUUGUUUUCAACAAAGAAUGAGCGAAACACUAAUGCCAUUAAAAUAAUAGGAUUCAAUGAUUUUGACUUUUAGGCUGAACAAGCAGUAGAAUUCUCAUGCCAUUAUAGCUUUAUUGAAUUUUAUUAUUAAACAAUAACUUAAAGUCAUAAACCAUGCUUGAGAAGGAAAGGAAAUACGUGUAAUUUGCAUCUCUUUUUUUUUAAAUUAAAUAAUAGCUUUAUUUAUACACACAUGGCAAUGAAUAAAACCAUGCUGUUUCGCAUAUGAAGCAAUGCUACUUCGGUUUUUGAGGAAAAAACAUAAAGUUCACAAAAUAUAAACCUACAUUUCUUGUCUUCAUUUAAAAAGGGUUAUAUUUAUCUUUGGAUUUUUCUGUUGACAGUGAUGGGUAUAGCAUUGUUACUAUCCCAGUUAGAAAAGCUUGGCUUCAUCCAACUGCUUAUUUAUGUUGCUCUUCAAAGUAAACAAAAACUUCCCAAAUUUCCUUCUGCUGCCUUUAGGUACCAGACACUAUUCUCUUCUUAAGUUCUAACCCUCAAAGGAAAACUCGCUAUUCGUUAUUUUUAUACUGAUGGAGAUUUUAGAUCCUCUUCCAUAGUUUCUGUUAAUCCUUAUGUUGUUAUUAGUGUUCGUAAUCAGUUCGAAUUCCUUAAAAAGGCUAUCCAUUUUGAGAAAUACAUCUCUUUCAAGCGGUCCAAAGGAGGGGAGGAAAUGUUUUUUGAAUCCAGGACAAACUGUGGACACUUUGUUUCCUUUAUUUUUUUGUAGUAUAUGUUCCUUGGCCUUCCUUUCCUGUCUGUACUGUAUUGUUUCUUUUCUCUGCCCCAGUGAGGAUGGUUGGCUUGGGUGGGGAGAGGGAUAUAUAUAUAUAUAUAUUCUGCAGGGGAAACAACAUUUACUAGUUACAUUGCCUAUGAGUAUAUAUAUAAAGAUGGGACGUGCUUGGCUGUAAAAAAAAAGUGCCUUGUGGAUGG
rnacentral:misc_RNA from 1 species